CUGGCCGGUGAGCUCCCCGCGAUCUCCGUGGGUCGCGAGCGCAGAGGCCGGCUGCCAGCUCUUGGACCCUGGAUGGAAAGUGAGUAAUGGGGUGAGGUGCUUCGGACCCCUAACGUGGAUUACAUGGUGCGUAUCAGCCGAGCUCAGAAGACUCACGACCUCCCCGUCCGUGGAUUGAUUCAUUCUACCUAGCAGUCGGGUCGCCUACCUGGAGGUGAAAUCAGAGGUUUGUGGCCAACCUGAGCAGGUGCUUUGAACCAAGGAAGGAUAAGAGAGAAGGUGAACCUGAGCACGAAAGGCCUAGGAAGGAGGAUUGGCAAAGGGUUGCCCUUCCUGCCCACACCUCCCACCAGGAAGCUUCGUGGAGCCACUGUGUGCCACCAGGUCUCCCCUGAAGGACAUGACUCAGAUGUGACCAUCUCUUAAGAGGCAAGAGCUCUGAAUUGAGUCGAGAAUUCUUACUUUGGAGAAUAAAGAAGGUUCUGGAUUUGA